GUGUGUGGUCGUUUUUACCGUGAUCUGUGGCUUACAUGAAAACUUUGAUAUCAAUGGUUAGCACACUUUCUACUGUUCCUUCUUUCCAUUUUUAUAACAAUACCUUGAUUGAAUGUUUCUCUUUUACUACUAGGUGAACUGUAUGACACACUUUAGUUUAAUAACUGUGUUUUCCCAAAGGAAACCCAUAUGUAGUAAUCAUUGUCAUGGGUAUAUUGUAACCUAAUUCUAAAUGGUAAAUCGUACAGACACAGACUAUAUAGCUGUGAUAUCAUUUGCAAUCAGAGUUAUAAUUUUUUUUUUUUAGCAAAACAUUUUUCAAUAUCUUCUGUUAUCAGGAUCUGUAGGCAAUAUUAUGUACAUGCAGCAUAACUUAGUAGGUAUGUAGGAAGAAGGGGU